rnacentral:rRNA from 1 species
AGAACAUCACGCUUAAGUGGAGACAUUUUCCUUCUUUCGGCUGGUUGAGUGACAGGUGCUGCAUGGCUGUCGUCAGCUCGUGUCGUGAGAUGUUGGGUUAAGUCCCGCAACGAGCGCAACCCUCGCCGUUAGUUGCCAUCAUUUAGUUGGGCACUCUAGCGGAACCGCCGGUGAUAAGCCGGAAGAAGGUGGGGAUGACGUCAAGUCUUCAUGGCCCUUACGGGAUGGGCUACACACGUGCUACAAUGGUGGUGACAAUGGGAUAAUCCCUAAAAGCCAUCUCAGUUCGGAUUGGGGUCUGCAACUCGACCCCAUGAAGUUGGAAUCGCUAGUAAUCGCGUAACAGCAUGACGCGGUGAAUACGUUCCCGGGUCUUGUACACACCGACGG